AGCCCCGUGGUGUAGUGGCAAUCAUAGCGGCCUUUGGAGCCGUUGACGGCGGUUCGAAUCCGCCCGGGGCUA
rnacentral:tRNA from 1 species